ACUCCUGCCAUCCCAGAAUAUAACCAGGGCAGGAAGGACAACUCACAAGCUGGGAAGGAACAGAAAAUAAUGAGUGUCAUCUGCCAGGCUGACAGAAACGUAGGAAACUGAUGUGGGCUGCCACUGCUGUGGACAUAACACCAUUUGAUUUUGUGAAAAACUGAAAGGAUUUUGUUCCAGACUAAACAGUAAAGAACAGGAUUCUUGACUAUUUGCACAAGCUAUUAAAACAUCGAGUGUUAUAUAUGCCAACAUUGUUUUUCACAAGAAUCUAAAUAUUCAUUAACCAAAACAGGUCCCCGCUAGCAUACAGGUAAGCUGAUGGGCACAUUCAGCAUACUUCUGCUUUUGUAGUCAUUAAAACAUUGUCAUGUCUAGAAAUCUGGCAGGCUGUAUUUUGGAUUUAUUAUUUAAUCAACACAUUGAAAAGAUCAUAAAAACAGCAUUUUUCCUUCCUAAAAUUAUGUCAGUCCAAGGACUGUGGUCAGCAAAUAAGUCCUGCAGAUGUUGCAGAUUCAAGUCUGUUAUUUCUAGGAUUGAUUAUUUCAAGUAUUUAUUUUGGGGUUUCAUUGAUUGCACCAUUCAAACACCACAGUCUAGGACAGAUGCUAUAAGUCAGAUCACAUGCAGAAUUUUGAGGAAUGUGAAAAAAUAACCCUAUAUAUUUAACUCACCAUAAAUUUUCUCAGUGCUAUAAAAUGAUUGCUUCCUGUUUGAAGGAUCCUAAGAAGCAGUAAGUUGUACCAUAGAGCAGCAAGUAAGAACUGAGCUUCUUAGCAGCCAGCCAAGGAAAUUUCAGGAAACUUCAGGAUUUAAUCCUGCUUAUUAUCUAUGCGUUCAUAAAUGUUAGUGGGAGUAGGAACAAAAGAAGUAUUUAUUAACAGUAGCCACUGCCCUAAACUGCAUCCUUGUGCCCAAAAUCACCAACAAAUUGAGCUAUGUCUCUUCUGCAUCACUGUGAUGAAAACCCUUUAAACUCUGUAGUGUUUGGGACACUGACAUGGGGGCAAGACUAAAGACCUAGAAAUCUUCUCUUUUAUGAAGACUCAAGAGACACAGAGGUUUGGUGAAGUACCUUUGACUUUUCAUCUCAUGGAGAGACUCCUAAGUAACACAGAAAAGGCCUAAGUUUAUCUUUGUAUAAACUUUCCCUUUGCACAGAGAGAUAGAGGAGGAGAAAGAUAUUAAGCUUUAGCUAAAAAGUUGUUUAUAAAAAACUAGCUCCAAGCUGCUAUUGGUUUUGCUUCAUAAAUCUUUGCCCAUAAUUCACCUCUACAAUUUUUUCUCUCCUAAUGAUGAACACAAAUUCAGUGAAAGUGACCUUAAAUUCUGGCAAGAAGAAAGAAGAAUUCUGGAGAUUUACUGUGGGGGAAAGAGGAGUAGGGAUAAAACACAGAGAAUAUGUCUGAAGAUUAAUUGCUUUACUUUUAUUAUUAAAAUUCCUGCCACAAGAUGUCUCUGAGCUAAAACUUUGUCUUGGUCCUGGCUCACAUUAAGUUCCUAUCUACAAUAUUAUUGCAGCCAUAAUGGCAACAACAUCUGCCUUCUGUGGCACACAGAGCAACUGGCCUGUGAGGCUCCAGAGGAAACUGUGAACUUUCCUACCUUUUCUUCAGCCACAGAAAACAUGAGACCAGCCCUUGUUUUGCAUCUUUACAGAUGUAUUGCCCAUUUUAAGAUAGUCACUUGGUUUUGUUUUACAUUUUCUAAAAACAUAGACAAAGCUAGAAUAUCACUAUGGAAAAAUAGCAUAUCACUACUAUAUACUGUAAUUGUUCUUUUGAUCUACAAAAUAUUCAGAAGGAUUGUGGAGAAACUGAGCUAGCAAACAACUUCAAACAUACCAUAUUACAUUCUCUUCAUUUUCACUUAAUUUUCCUCCCCUGUUUCUCAAGAAGCAAUUGUAAUUUAAAACCUCACGUGUUUGCAAGAGACCACAUGCAUAGCAUGUGGACCUGCAACAUUGUUUAAAAAAUGGAAGAAUUAUUAUGUAGAAAAUUCAAAACAACAAGUGUAAUAUAAAUAGAAUUAUGUAAAAAUAAAUAGCUUAGCUUCUUCCAGCUGUGCAGGACCACAAGGAAGACUUCUGGAUGAUUAAUACUUGAUACAUAUUUGAAAUAAACUGCAGAUGGUUUCAGCUAGUUCUUGGCUAGUAUAACAGAACUAUUUCUAAAUAAAGAUAAGAGCUAUAUAAAGACACUAAAAAAUUGAGAUUAAAAAAAGUUUGUUUGGUUUUCUGAUAUUCACUGCGCAUGAACAUUUACAGACUCCAUAUAUCAAAAACUGUUUAAGACUGGGACUGUCAAUGAGAAAGAUAGAAAGGGAAGUUAUCCUGACAUGUUUGUGUUCAACAAAGAAAAAAUCCUCUUGCAUGAUACAAGAAAAAAGUAAAGAGGCAGGACAGAAUUGACCAUAGGUGGGAGUCCAUACUUUGAUAUACUACCUGUGAAUGCUUUUUUUUAAAUCAGGAGAUUAAUCUUGUAAUUUUUUUAUUCCCCGUUGUCUUUAAUUUCAGCAGUGAACUAUUGUAUUGCCUCAUGGAGGAUGUUAGCACACAGUUAACCCCUACCCUGAGGGCAUGCACUUUGACAGGGAAUGUACCACAGUACCAGUGAAGGUGAGCUCUCACCAAAAUAUACCAUUUGCAGGGCAGGGGGCCGUGGGGAAGGCAAAGCAAGUCCAUGCAGCCCAUGGGAUCACCUGCACCAGAAUGCUGGGGACAGCAUUCUUUCAAGCAAGAAAUGCUACCCAAUGCUACCACUCCUUAUGUCUGCCCAUUCUACAAAGCAGACACUUAUGGGAAAUAGAGACAACCUUUUCCUUGCCUCAGCCACUUGGUUAGCGCUUCUACUGCCUCAGAAACAGAGAAAAAUGGGGCAUUUUUUAUCUCAUAGAAAAGUAAUGUUAUGAACACAGGACUGCCAGCCAGAGAUGCCAAUAAUAAUUAAUCAUUUGGAAAUGCACUUGAGUGGCUGUAUUUACAUGCUGAUGCCUUUCAAUAUCUAAAAUAUCUAUUAGGUGUUACAAUUAUGUAUUUAAUCUUGGAAUAUGAAAAAUCUCUUCCUGGGUCUUGUUCAGCUUCCAAGUAAGGAGAGACCAUUAAAAAAAAGCAUUAGGCAAUUCUUCAUUUACUUGAAAGCAGGAGAUUGAAUUUAAUCCCUUUUAAAGAAUAAUAGACACCAUUAUGAUCGAGUUUCCUACAUGCCUGUGCCUUUAAAGUUCCAGAAAAAAUCCACAAAUUUCCGCUGCUAAAAUGGCCAAUUGCAAAGUUAUGCUAGAUCAAAUUGGGGGGGAAACAAAAAAAAAACCUAACAAACAAAAAAAAAAAAAAAAAAGACACAAACACAGGCAAAAGUCACAGUGCUGCGCAGCAGGAAGCUGCAAAUAUUUGGAGGAGAGAUGUGUUGGGGAGCUCACUCAGUAAGGCUUCAAAAGGCCAAUUUAAAACACAUAUGCUAGUUUAUUAGAAGAAAACCAGAAAUGUUCAGGCAGCACUAAGGUAGAAGUACCAUUGCAGCCUUUCAGGUUUCAGAAGACACACUCAAUAGUUUAUGAAGCUAUGUUUAUGUCCUAGCCUGGACACAGAUGUGCAAGGAAAAUUAUUCAAAUUAGUAAAUUUGUGCUGCAAGAGCAACCAGUGUUUGAAGCAGUUGUGAAAGACAAUUCAAAUUUUCAAUUCAAAGGAAAAAAUUAAAACUAAUAAAGUCAAAACACUCUAGAUUUUAUGCAAAUCAAAGAUUUGCGUAUUUUUUCUUAUGAACAAGUCUAUUGUUCCUAUUUUUCAUUAGAAAUCCUUGCCUCAACAAAAGACUGUUGUUAGAUGUAAAAACCCCCUUACAAUUUUAUCCAGAAAAGGCUAGUAAAACAUUAUCUGCUAAUAUGAAACCCAUAACUGUUGAUAUAGCCCUGUGAUCAAAUAGUUUGCUGAGCAUAUAUAAUAUAUACAUCUCUAAACAAUAACAACAAUAAAAACAGCAACAAAAUUGAAGAGCAGAAAAAAAUGUUUGUUUCAGCAGGGAGAAUGAAAAACAUCCUGGAGACAAAAUUGUAGUAUCCUCUGGGGUGCAGAACAAAGAGUUGAUUUUAUUGGGAAAACAAUUACAGAAGUCAGAUAUCUUUAACUUUCAGAGAUAAAAGGCUUCAAGGGGAAGAGGCUCUAAUGGCAUACACUGAAUAGAUGCCAGGGAUGGCAUUCUGGUGCCUACAGGGACAUGCCUACAUCUCAGUCACCCAGCUUAGGCUCCGUUUAAAGACACAGGGAAGCAGCCAGUCUCAGAAGGGAAUCCCACUGAUUUCACCAGUGAACAAAUGAAGCAUGGACUGAUGGUCUCAUUUACCAUCUGUACACUUGUCUGUGUGUACAUAUAACCUCUUCACUACCUUGAAAAUCAAUAUCAUAAAAGUACUAGAACCUCUGUACUGGUAUUUUUCUUUGUGAAAAUAAACAGCAUAUGCAUGAACAUCUGUUAAUGUAAAUAAUUCUGAAAUAUAUUGUUAAUUCUAGCUUCAAUAAUUGCUUCACUGUGACAUUUGCUGCAAUAAAUAUGAAAUAUCUUGAAUCUAUUUUCAAACAACUCUGCAAUAAGCCAAAAACAGUUUACAAUUUAACUUUACUAUCUCAGUAGUAAAGUUAAAUUAAAACAGGCUGAAUUGGUUUGUUUGACAGGAAUUGAACAUAUACUUAGCUGGUAACUAAAUUUGUCCUAUUUCCUUCCCAGUGCUGAGUUUUAUGGACUGUCUACGAUUUUUUUUUUUUUUAGUAAAACCAAAUUAUUAGCUCGUAGAAAGCUAUAUAUUAAUUUAACAGCACUUCUCAUCUGUUCUUAGGCACUACUUGUGCAUACAACAUUUUUGUCUGGGUUAUUUUUGUUUCUUGUAGUGUUGCAGGGCUCUUCUGUGAAUUUAACACCUGGCUGAAAAGCUGAAUCCAGGAUGUCUGCAGUCAACAGCAUUUCAUAAAUGGCUUUCCCCUUCUGCAGCAAGGUAUUUCAUAAACAUUUUUUAGGACAGAUAGUCAUAAUUUGACAUUCAAGGUGUGCUAGUUAAAUAGGAUUGAUCACAUAAAUUGCAGAAUACCAACAGCCUGAAAAAUACUCUGAAAAAAAAAAAAAAAAAAACAAAAAAAA
ensembl:lncRNA